rnacentral:rRNA from 1 species
GUGCCCUUGAGGCGUGGCUUCCGGAGCUAACGCGUUAAAUCGACCGCCUGGGGAGUACGGCCGCAAGGUUAAAACUCAAAUGAAUUGACGGGGGCCCGCACAAGCGGUGGAGCAUGUGGUUUAAUUCGAUGCAACGCGAAGAACCUUACCUGGUCUUGACAUCCACAGAACUUAGCAGAGAUGCUUUGGUGCCUUCGGGAACUGUGAGACAGGUGCUGCAUGGCUGUCGUCAGCUCGUGUUGUGAAAUGUUGGGUUAAGUCCCGCAACGAGCGCAACCCUUAUCCUUUGUUGCCAGCGGUUAGGCCGGGAACUCAAAGGAGACUGCCAGUGAUAAACUGGAGGAAGGUGGGGAUGACGUCAAGUCAUCAUGGCCCUUACGACCAGGGCUACACACGUGCUACAAUGGCAUAUACAAAGAGAAGCGACCUCGCGAGAGCAAGCGGACCUCAUAAAGUAUGUCGUAGUCCGGAUUGGAGUCUGCAACUCGACUCCAUGAAGUCGGAAUCGCUAGUAAUCGUAGAUCAGAAUGCUACGGUGAAUACGUUCCCGGGCCUUGUACACACCGCCCGUCACACCAUGGGAGUGGGUUGCAAAAGAAGUAGGUAGCUUAACCUUCGGGAGGGCGCUUACCACUUUGUGAUUCAUGACUGGGGUGAAGUCGUAACAAGGUAACCGUAGGGGAACCUGCGGUUG